AACGAACGCUGGCGGCAGGCCUAACACAAGCAAGUCGAACGCCCCGCAAGGGGAGUGGCAGACGGGUGAGUAACGCGUGGGAACCUUCCCUGUGGUACGGAAUAACUGACCGAAAGGUUAGCUAAUACCGUAUACGUCCGAGAGGAGGAAGAUUUAUCGCCAUAGGAUGGGCCCGCGUCGGAUUAGCUAGUUGGUGAGGUAAUGGCUCACCAAGGCGACGAUCCGUAGCUGGUCUGAGAGGAUGAUCAGCCACACUGGGCUGAGACACGGCCCAGACUCCUACGGGGGGCAGCAGUGGGGAAUAUUGGACAAUGGGCGAAAGCCUGACGCAGCCAUGCCGCGUGGAUGAUGAAGGUCUUAGGAUUGUAAAAUCCUUUCACCGGUGAAGAUAAUGACUGUAGCCGGAGAAGAAGCCCCGGCUAACUUCGUGCCAGCCGCCGCUGUAACAC
rnacentral:rRNA from 1 species